CCGGCUGCUCGGCCCGCCCGCCGCCGCCGCCGCCGCCGCCGCUCCGGCUGCCAGCACCGCCCGGCUCGGUGGAGAAGCUGAGGUUCAAAGGGCGAAGUGCCUUCCUUGGCUUGGAAAGCAGUGUUUCCCGGUACUGACCCCAGCUUCUGGACCCGCAGCCCUGAGACCUCCGGCAAGGGCUCAGAAGCCCGGAUCCCAGGGCGCCGGAUUCAGGACCACGGAGAGUUCCCGAGCUGCGGGAACACCAGGCGGAAGGCGAUGGGGAAUGGGAGCAGCAGGAGACCCAGUAUUGCGUCCCAGCAGCCCCGGGCUGGCCCCAGCCCCCACUCCUCCAGGAAGCCCUCCCAGAUUUGUCUGGAUGGAGCUCUGCUUCCUCCCUCUCGCUUUAUUCCUUUCAUAGUAUUUAAGGGGAGAAGGGUUAAUAAAAAAUGAUAGUAAAAUUCAAAAACGAACA